UGGGGAAUAUUGGACAAUGGGGGCAACCCUGAUCCAGCAAUGCCGCGUGUGUGAAGAAGGUUUUCGGAUUGUAAAGCACUUUCGACGGGGACGAUGAUGACGGUACCCGUAGAAGAAGCCCCGGCUAACUUCGUGCCAGCAGCCGCGGUAAUACGAAGGGGGCUAGCGUUGCUCGGAAUGACUGGGCGUAAAGGGCGUGUAGGCGGUUUGUACAGUCAGAUGUGAAAUCCCCGGGCUUAACCUGGGAGCUGCAUUUGAUACGUGCAGACUAGAGUGUGAGAGAGGGUUGUGGAAUUCCCAGUGUAGAGGUGAAAUCCGUAGAUAUUGGGAAGAACACCGGUGGCGAAGGCGGCAACCUGGCUCAUAACUGACGCUGAGGCGCGAAAGCGUGGGGGAGCAAACAGGAUUAGAUACCCUGGUAGUCCACGCUGUAAACGAUGUGUGCUAGAUGUUGGGUAACUUAGUUAUUCAGUGUCGCAGUUAACGCGUUAAGCACACCGCCUGGGGAGUACGGCCGCAAGGUUGAAAC
rnacentral:rRNA from 1 species